rnacentral:lncRNA from 1 species
AAAAAAUAAUUUUUCUCAAAAAAAAAUACUGAUAUUGUUUUAUUAAAAAAACGUAAAAAACUUUUUUAAAAAAAUAAAUUUCAAAGAAAAAUUUUAAAGGAAAAUAAAAUGGAUGGAUGGAUAUCCAUCCACUAAAAAUAUGAUAAUGGAUGGAUUGGAUGGAUUUUUAUUCUUAAUGGAUGGAUUGGAUUGGAUAUUUUUAAAAAACUUUUAGUGGAUUGUUAAUGGAUAAUGGAUUGUUUUGAUCCAUCCAUUAACGAUCCAAUCCAUAUCCAUCCAAUCCAUCCAUUUUGC